rnacentral:pre_miRNA from 1 species
AACACCUGAAGACCUUGUUAAAAUGCAGAUUCUAACUCAGCUGAUCUUGGGGAGGCCCAAGAUACUGUAUUUCUAACAAGCUUCUAGGUGAUGCUGA